AGUGGGGGAUAACGUAGCGAAAGUUACGCUAAUACCGCAUAUGCCCUGAGGGGGAAAGGAGGGGAUCGUAAGACCUUUCGCUUUCGGAGUGGCCGAUAUCAGAUUAGCUAGUUGGUGGGGUAAAGGCCUACCAAGGCGACGAUCUGUAGCGGGUCUGAGAGGAUGAUCCGCCACACUGGGACUGAGACACGGCCCAGACUCCUACGGGAGGCAGCAGUGGGGAAUUUUGGACAAUGGGGGCAACCCUGAUCCAGCCAUGCCGCGUGAGUGAAGAAGGCCUUCGGGUUGUAAAGCUCUUUCGGACGGAAAGAAAUCCUAUUCGCUAAUACCGGGUGGGGAUGACGGUACCGUAAGAAGAAGCACCGGCUAACUACGUGCCAGCAGCCGCGGUAAUACGUAGGGUGCGAGCGUUAAUCGGAAUUACUGGGCGUAAAGCGUGCGCAGGCGGUUUUGUAAGACAGAUGUGAAAUCCCCGGGCUUAACCUGGGAACUGCAUUUGUGACUGCAAGGCUAGAGUGCGGCAGAGGGGGGUAGAAUUCCA
rnacentral:rRNA from 1 species